rnacentral:rRNA from 1 species
CCUACGGGAGGCAGCAGUGGGGAAUCUUGCGCAAUGGGCGAAAGCCUGACGCAGCCAUGCCGCGUGUAUGAUGAAGGUCUUAGGAUUGUAAAAUACUUUCACCGGUGAAGAUAAUGACUGUAGCCGGAGAAGAAGCCCCGGCUAACUUCGUGCCAGCAGCCGCGGUAAUACGAAGGGGGCUAGCGUUGCUCGGAAUUACUGGGCGUAAAGGGAGCGUAGGCGGACAUUUAAGUCAGAGGUGAAAUCCCGGAGCUUAACUUCGGAACUGCCUUUGAUACUGGGUGUCUUGAGUGUGAGAGAGGUAUGUGGAACUCCGAGUGUAGAGGUGAAAUUCGUAGAUAUUCGGAAGAACACCAGUGGCGAAGGCGACAUACUGGCUCAUUACUGACGCUGAGGCUCGAAAGCGUGGGGAGCAAACAGGAUUAGAUACCCUGGUAGUCCACGCCGUAAACGAUGAUUGCUAGUUGUCGGGAAGCUUGCUUCUCGGUGACGCNGCUACGACAUAAGACAACUCCGCCGUCGGGGAGGUACGGUCGGCGAAGAAGUUAAAACUUAACUAAAUUAGUUAAGUUAGUUACGGCGUGAGACGUUGCCGACGGACGACGACGAGGGAGGAGG